AUUUUCUCCCCCAUUAUCUUAUAGUUUAAUCCAUGGCCAAUUACCUGUUUUAUAUCAUUCCACUAAUAACGGGAUUUACUGCUUUUCUAUCUUGAUUUCGUCUUUUCUGCGAAUUAAGGGGUGAAUUAGCUUGGGAUGUAUUAGACUUCUUGACCGGGGAUUUCUGCUAGGGAUUUGAUUAUUUUUAUUGACUUUCGAGAUUCAUGCUUUGUGCUAGGCUGUUUUGGAUUUUACCGAUUUGCCGGGUAGAUGCCUUGGAGCGAAUUUCUAUUGAGAGUUUAGGUUUGAUACCUGGAUUUGAUUAGUUUCAAGUCAUUUGGUUUUUGAAAAGAAAUUAGCACUUUCUUAGCUACUUUAAUUGAGGGUGGGUUGAGGCCAUCUCCAUUCCUCUUUUGCAUCCCGCUUUGAAUCUGAUGAUGAAGUUUAAGUUUCGUACAUACAUUAAACCCCCUUCAAAACUACACUUAGUUUGAAAAUUGCCCAACGAAAGAGUUCUUCUUUAAUACAAUUAGAAGAUUACAUACUUGCAUAAUAACAUUUUUCAUUCAUAAGAACUAUUCUUAAGAACAAUGAACCACUCCAUAAUUUCAGACUGACAUAGUAUUGUCCACUUUUGAAUAUAAACUUUCAUGACUUUGCUUUUGACUUCACUAAAAUUAUCUCAUAGCAUUGGAGAUAAUUGUCCCAUUUAUACACGUUAUCUUCAAACGGAGGACCACUGAGCCUUUCUUCAAGCACACCACAUGUCUUAUAUAGCUGAAUCACUGAUCUUCACGUAACUAUGUCAUUGAGGCUCAUCACUAUCCACAUGUUUAGAUUCGAAGGAUUUAAUCGACAUGCUUAAGUUUGGGGUAUGCCUUUCUCACCAUUUGUUAAGGAUGAUCAUGCCAAUGGAAAUAGUUAUUCUUACCUAUAUACCUACAAUCUUCUUCUUAUCUUGGGACUUUAGUUGUCCUCACAACCAAAACGUUGUCAAAAUUAGUAUUAUCUCUUCAUGUAACAACCCAAGCCCACCGCUAGUAGAUAUUAUCAGCUUUGGCUUGUUUAUCGCCAUUAACCUCAGGGUUUUAAAAUGUGUCUAUUGGGGAGAGUUUUCCAUACCCUUAUAAAUAAUGUUUCGUUCCCCUCUCCAACGGAUGUGGGAUCUCACAAUCCACCCCCUUUGGUGGCCCAUCAUCUUGGUUGGCACAUUGGCCGGUGCCUGGCUAUGAUAUUGUGAGGACACACUGCGUGUCCGUUUUUGCCUGUUACGUAUCGAUGUCAGCCUCACGUUACCUCUAUAGGUAGAAGUUUUCACACUUUUAUAAAGAAUGUUUCGUUUUCCUCUCCAACCGAUGUGGGAUUUCACACGACACAAAAUGGGGUAACUUAACUAGUUGGUUUUUUCUUUUUUUUGGUAAGAAAUUGAGCUUUCUUUGAGAAAAUGAGAGAAUACAUAGGCAUACAAAAAACGAGCCUAAACAAAUUUUUAAAAAUGUCUCCAAUCCAAAAGAACAAGGCCAAGAUCAGGCAUAGUGACCGAAACCUAAAAGAAGGCUUUAAAUCUAACCACCUCACCCGCUCUCAACUCCUCACAAUUUCUGUUGUGUUUUUUUCUAACCAAAUAUCCCACAAAAGAGCAAAGAAGCUAGUUUGCCACAAGACUUUACCUCUUUCCUUAAUAGAGGAUUCAAAAGCACCUCCUCAACAACAAGCAACCAUCCUGUCCCUGAGCACCACGCACACCAAACAAGGAUUUCCAACGAUCCCAAAGAAACUGAGCAAAUUGGAAGUUAAAUAUUCAAAUUGAUUCAUUUAGUUUAGAAUAGGUGAUAAAAGUAAAAUUUCCCCUAAUUAUUUGAUUGUUGCAAGAAAUGGUUAUUGAGGACUUGAUAGGUGGACAAAGCUCUCAGGUAGAUGUCUUAUGUGCUUCUAUUUAACAUCAGAGAAUCUUUGAUAUUAUGUUACAAAUGCACCCGUUUUGUUUUCAAGGUAUGUGAAAUAUAACUUGAUUUGUUUAGGAUUAAUAGCCGUAACCAAGAACAUCAGUCUACAUUAUUUG